CCUACGGGAGGCAGCAGUGGGGAAUAUUGGGCAAUGGGCGCAAGCCUGACCCAGCAACGCCGCGUGAAGGAAGAAGGCUCUCGGGUUGUAAACUUCUUUUAUGAGGGACGAAACAAAUGACGGUACCUCAUGAAUAAGCCACGGCUAACUAAGUGCCAGCAGCCGCGGGAAUACGUAGGUGGCAAGCGUCAUGCGGAUUUACUGGGUGUAAAGGGAGCGUAGACGGGAGCGCAAGUCUGGAGUGAAAUCCCAUGGCUUAACCAUGGAACUGCAUGGGAAACUGUGCAGCUUGAGUGCAGGAGAGGUAGGCGGAAUGCCUGGUGUAGCGGUGAAAUGCGUAGAUAUUAGGAGGAACACCGAUGGCGAAGGCAGCUUACUGGACUGUAACUGACGUUGAGGCUCGAAAGCGUGGGGAGCAAACAGGAUUAGAUACCCCAGUAGUC
rnacentral:rRNA from 1 species